rnacentral:SRP_RNA from 1 species
GCCGGGCAUGGUGGCGUGUGCCUGUAGUCCCAGCUACUUGGGAGGCUGAGGCAGGAGAAUUGCUUGAACCUGGGAGGUGGAGGUUGCACCACUGUACUCCAGCCUGGGCAACAGAGCAAGACCCUGUCUCAA